rnacentral:rRNA from 1 species
UGAACGCUGGCGGCGUGCCUAAUACAUGCAAGUCGAGCGAACGGACGAGAAGCUUGCUUCUCUGAUGUUAGCGGCGGACGGGUAAGUAACACGUGGAUAACCUACCUAUAAGACUGGGAUAACUUCGGGAAACCGGAGCUAAUACCGGAUAAUAUUUUGAACCGCAUGGUUCAAAAGUGAAAGACGGUCUUGCUGUCACUUAUAGAUGGAUCCGCGCUGCAUUAGCUAGUUGGUAAGGUAACGGCUUACCAAGGCAACGAUGCAUAGCCGACCUGAGAGGGUGAUCGGCCACACUGGAACUGAGACACGGUCCAGACUCCUACGGGAGGCAGCAGUAGGGAAUCUUCCGCAAUGGGCGAAAGCCUGACGGAGCAACGCCGCGUGAGUGAUGAAGGUCUUCGGAUCGUAAAACUCUGUUAUUAGGGAAGAACAUAUGUGUAAGUAACUGUGCACAUCUUGACGGUACCUAAUCAGAAAGCCACGGCUAACUACGUG